CUUCACUUUUCCCGCCCUUUUCACACACCCAAUUUUUUUUUUUUAAAAAAAAAAACACUAAAAACUUUACCACCACAAAUCCCUAAUUUCACGGGAAAUGGCGACGUGACAAAUCUUCUCCGACGCCGGGAAAAAAUAUCCGAUGGGAAAUAACCGGCCAAAUCAUCCAUACCAAACCUGAGCCUAAACCAAACGGAGCCCUAAUUCCACUCCAAGCACCAAAACUGACCUCCCUUCCAUGGCCGAUCUCUUACACCAAGGUUCUUCAGUAUGGGUAUGUAUAGCUGUAUAAAUACGCGUGUAAUACAUGUAUUCACGUAUGGAUCGUGUUUUUGUCUGAGUGAAGGACGUCCGCAUUACGGAAAUACACCGACUUUCGGCACAGGAUCAGGGAAAUCAGUUGCGUUAAAGCAAUCUUCGAUUGCGAAAGCGUUAGCUAUCCUCGGCGGUGGCGAAGACGAAGACGACGGUGGUGCGUGAAGCAUGUGGGGGAGAUAACGAAUUUGGUUUUCUGUAGCUUUUGGAGAAAGGGAAUGAAGAUGAUGGAAAUGCACCGAUUUUCCAUACAGGAUCAGGGAAAUCGGUUCUAUCGAGAAAAUCUUUGAUUGCGAAAGCGAUUUCUGUUCAGCAAUUUGUGUGGAAACCAUCCACCGUUGAGCAAUUUGUGUGGCAGGAUUUAUCACAUCCAGGGAUGAAAGUCGGCAUGAGAAAUAAUGGGGUUAUUGGUGAUGAUCUGCUAGUUACUAGGUCCCUUUUAGUUUCCAAGUCUGGUAUAUUAAAAAGCGAAUGGGUAAAGGAGGUCAAUACAGACUUGCCCCAACCUGAAGCACAAUAUUCUGCUCCCAAACCACCACCAUUUAAAUUCCACACUGCUGGUGGAAGGUCCCUUUCCGUUUCCAGUGAGGCAUUGAAACGUGCAAGGAGUCUUCUUGGUGACCCAGACAUGGGAGCUUUCUUAAACGAGGGGGAUGCAUUUGAUAUGGGUCCCUCAGUUUUUGAAGAUAUUAUAUUUGAUGAGGCUUCGUCAAACAAGGAAAAUUCCUUUUUACUCUGCAUUUACCCAUCCAGAAGCUUCAAAGAGUAAACAUAUCUCAAAAACUUUCACUUCACCUCUUAAAUUAUCUGCGAACCAUGUUUAGCCAUCCAUUAAUUAAAAAAAAAAGAGUCAUUUCAGGGGGUAACUUGUUGGAGAAAUUUGAUGCUGUUCACAAUGACGGCACCUGCGAGUUUAAUAACAAAGCAACUUGUAUACAGAAUUGCGUAAGGAAUCGACUGUGUUCAUUAGAUACAACAAUGCUAAUUCUCUAGAAAGUGGUACUGGUUCAAGGAUGAAUCCACUUCAAAGGCUACUGCGUGUGCUAUUGGUUGAUAUUUCAAAUAAAAAUGGCGCAGCGUACCCAAAUAACAGCCCAGUGAUCUUCUCGAGGGACAGGCCUAUGCUAUAGCGGACUGUUACUUGUAAACUCUGAUUCGAAUACACUUUACUUACAAGCUACAACCAAAUGGCAACUUUUGUCCUGGCAAUGCAACAGUUUCAGUAAGCCUCUAUUUGCUUUUCUCCUGUCUUAACAAUUGAAUCUAACUAAAGGCCGUCCUUUUAAGCCAUUUUCCAGCACUCGAGUAUCAGUAUUAUUGUCAAAUUUGGGUGAAGUUCCUCGUUGUUGGUAAAUUACACAUAUCUAUCUUUUCUGGAUCCCACCUCUGCCUUGGUAAACAAAUAAACCCUGUCCACUUGCAGCCAUGCUGAUCAAAAUGACAAAUUUCAUGACUUGACCCGUUUGGUUCCCCAUUGUGUUUUGAUUACGCAAUGAAUUUGACAUCGCUGCACUUGUGUUGCCCAUGGGAGAGGUUUAUACAGCUCCUCUGCAAAAGAAACAGUGUGUCUGUGAUUGAUACUGCUAUUUCUACAUUGGAUUCGGAGGAAUAGUACAGAUGCAGAAAAGGAUAGGAUACUUAUUGCAAGCAGCCAGCGAGCUCAUCCAGUUAAACCGUUGAAUCCUUGAAAUACCACUGGUUUGUGGUUGAUUUGUGAUUUGUCAGCCUCUCCACCUGAAUUCCAUGUUUAUGAAUUUAUUACAUUCUCCUUACAGAUUUGUGCUACAUAGCCAAUGUUUGAGCAGCUGAAGUUCCAGGAGAAAUCUGUCGAUAUCAAUCAUGCAACGAAGUCAUGAAGGCUCCCUCAGUUCCAGACCAUCCCAUCGCUUAAUUUUCAAUGUUGGGCACAGUGGGGAAGGGCAUGGGUCAAGCAUCUCGGAAUUGGUUUAGCUUUCAACGGUGGGAGAUGGUCCCUCCACGCUGUAACAUUUUUGGUUUAGUGUACAAUCAUUAAAUGCAACUGAACCAUCUACGUAAAUAAUUAAGAACAAGUGAUUUUUGAUUGAAAACCUAUGUAAUGUCAAAACUCAAUAUAGUAUGCUGUGUUAUAAAAUUAGAGUUUGUAAACAAGUUCUUAAGACAAUAAAAGAAUCAUGUCUUUAUAAAGUUCAAAUCAAA